rnacentral:rRNA from 1 species
UAUUGGUCAAUGGACGCAAGUCUGAACCGGCCAUGCCGCGUGCAGGAAGACGGCUCUAUGAGUUGUAAACUGCUUUUGUACUAGGGUANNCGCUCCUACGUGUAGGAGUCUGAAAGUAUAGUACGAAUAAGGAUCGGCUAACUCCGUGCCAGCAGCCGCGGUAAUACGGAGGAUCCAAGCGUUAUCCGGAUUUAUUGGGUUUAAAGGGUGCGUAGGCGGUUUGAUAAGUUAGAGGUAAAAUACCGGGGCUCAACUCCGGAACUGCCUCUAAUACUGUUGAACUAGAGAGUAGUUGCGGUAGGCGGAAUGUAUGGUGUAGCGGUGAAAUGCUUAGAGAUCAUACAGAACACCGAUUGCGAAGGCAGCUUACCAAACUAUAUCUGACGUUAAGGCACGAAAGCGUGGGGAGCAAACAGGA